UUACUUUAUAACAGGGUUAGAAUGGUAGAAUAAAUCUGACACUCAACACCUCUAGCCAGCAUAUCCUCUUCCUGAAGGCAAAUAUGCAGGAAAUCAGGUUAUAAUAAGAACUUCCUUUGGUGAAGGCUGGGUGCAGGGGCUCACACUUGUAAUUCCAGGGUAAGGAAACCUUAGGAAAGUGAUGGCUGCUAGAAAGAACAGGGUGAGACAAACGAGAGACCAGGUCUCUGUGGCACUCUGUAUCAGUUAAGAUAGGUUUGACUGCAUGCCAUAGCGAGCCCCAUGAAAAUGGCUUAAUAUCAGUAGCAUUUCUUGUUUGCUUAAAAUCCGGAGGUAGGAUCUCAGUAUAACAAUGUUGUCAGAGAUGCUGGCUCUUUGCUCCUUACACUCGGCAUUCUUCAGUGUGUGGCUCUGAUUUCCCAGUGGUUGCCAAGUUGGUGCACAGUUCUGAGCUUCACAUCCUCAUAGAACAUACCCCAUUUAAGAAAUAAGGAGGAUAAAGGACCUUCUAUAUGGCUAUUUCUUUUAUCAGGGUAGAAAAUCUUGGAUUUGAACGCGAGCGGCGAGGACCGCGGCUAAGCACCGGCUCCUCUGAGGCUCGCGGCCCAGGGUUCUCCCGGCCUACCCAGACUCCAGCCUUUUGCCCCUGGACCCGGCAGCCCAAGCAGCAACCGUGGGGCCGGGCGCCAGCACCCUCCGCGGCGCGCCAUGGGCCUGCGCCGCCGGAGACGCAAGCUCAAUGCCCCGAGGAGGCGCAGCCCGAGCCCGACCCCGACCCCCAGCCCGUUCCAGCAGAGCCCUUUCUUAGGUGCUUCCUUACGUCCACGUGGUUAUCGAAGGCAAGGUUGGCUAAAGGAGAUCCGAAAGCUUCAGAAGAGCACACACCUCUUGUUAAGGAAGUACCCCUUCAGCCGCCUGGCAAGAGAAAUAUGUGUUAAAUUCACUCGUGGUGUGGACUUCAAUUGGCAAGCCCAGGCCCUAUUGGCCCUACAAGAGGUGGCAGAAGCAUUUCUAGUUCAUAGAAGCUUUUCUAGUUCAUCCCUUUGUGGAUGCCUGUCUCCUCACCUUACAUGCCGGCCGAGUUACUCUCUUCCCAAAGGAUGUGCAGCUGGACCGGAGGAUCCGGGGCAUUGAGGGAGGACUCGGCUGAGCUCCUGUGCCCAGUGUAUUUGUCAGUAUUUCCUGCUCAGCCGGGGGGAUUGAUGCCAGGGACUCUCUGGAGCCAUGACUAGACCCAGUGGAGUCUGCGAUGCUGUCUGGACUUUGCCGUCUCUGAACGGUGUGUGCAUGUUGCUUUAAACUUUUUUUUCUUUUUUGGAGAAGGAGAAGACUGCAUGACUUUCCUCUGUAACACAGGUAAUAUAUGAGACAAUCGACAUCGUUCCUAAGGCCUGAAAAUAAUUUUCAGAUAAAGAGACUCCAAGGUUGACUUUAGUUUGUGAGUUACUCACAUUUUGGGAUUUUGAAACCAUCGUAUUUGUUGUGGUAUGGGAGAAAAGGAUAUGUACUUAUUAUUUUAGAUCUGUCUGUACUAUUUGCAUUUUUUGCCAUAUGUACAUUUGUACUUUUAUUUUACACAUAAGGGAAAAAAUAAGAGACCACUUGGAUCAGUUCCAUGGAAGGCUGGGCAUAUCCAGCAUAGACCUCUGCCCUUCAGAGUAGCCUCACCAUUAGUGGCAGCAUCAAGUGACUCAGUGGUCUGUGCUUGUCAACAGAUGAGGAGCUUUUCAGAAACUUAACUGGGGAUGAAUAGAAGAUCUGUAAGCUUUGAUGUUCUGGUUCCUUCUAGUCAAUUCCUUUCACAAUCAAUUCAGAAAUUCUAACUUGUAGAAUUUAACAUUUUACUCUUGUAAAUCAUAGAAGAUGUAUCAUAUCAGUUCAGGAUUUUAAAGUACUUUUUCGAUGCUUUUACAUGAAUUUUUGUAGUUUCUUUUUAGAGAGAUAAUAAAAAUAAAAAUAAUUA